rnacentral:rRNA from 1 species
GUAGGGGGCAAGCGUUGUCCGGAUUUAUUGGGCGUAAAGAGCGUGUAGGCGGCUAGGGUAAGUCUGACGUGAAAUAUCGAGGGCUCAACCUCGAAAGGUCGUUGGAAACUGCCUAGCUAGAGUCCCGGAAGAGGAGAGUGGAAUUCCUGGUGUAGCGGUGAAAUGCGCAGAUAUCAGGAGGAACACCUAUGGCGAAGGCAGCUCUCUGGGACGGUACUGACGCUGAGACGCGAAAGCGUGGGGAGCGAACAGGAUUAGAUACCCUGGUAGUCCACGCCGUAAACGAUGGGUGCUAGGUGUGGGCGGUGUCGACUCCGUCCGUGCCGAAGCCAACGCAUUAAGCACCCCGCCUGGGGAGUACGGCCGCAAGGCUA